rnacentral:misc_RNA from 1 species
GAUGAAGAACGUAGCGAAAUGCGAUACUUGGUGUGAAUUGCAGAAUCCCGUGAACCAUCGAGUCUUUGAACGCAAGUUGCGCCCGAAGCCAUUAGGCCGAGGGCACGCCUGCCUGGGCGUCACACGUCGUUGCCCCCCCAUCUACUCCUUCGGGAUUGCGGGGGGCGGAUGAUGGCCUCUCGUGCGCCUCGUCGCGCGGUUGGCCUAAAUGCCAAGUCCUCGGCGACGCACGCCACGACAAUCGGUGGUUGCGAAACCUCGGUUGCCUGUCGUGUGCGGUCGUCGCGCAUCGAGGGCUCGAAAAAAUUGCCGGGCUUCGGCUCGACUUUCAACGCGACCCCAGGUCAGGCGGGGUUACCCGCUGAAUUUAAGCGUAUCAAUAAGCGGAGA